rnacentral:rRNA from 1 species
AUUGAACGCUGGCGGCAUGCCUUACACAUGCAAGUCGAACGGCAGCACGGACUUCGGUCUGGUGGCGAGUGGCGAACGGGUGAGUAAUAUAUCGGAACGUACCUUUCAGUGGGGGAUAACGUAGCGAAAGUUACGCUAAUACCGCAUAUUCUGUGAGCAGGAAAGCAGGGGAACGCAAGACCUCGCGCUGAUUGAGCGGCCGAUAUCAGAUUAGCUAGUUGGUGAGGUAAAGGCUCACCAAGGCGACGAUCUGUAGCGGGUCUGAGAGGAUGAUCCGCCACACUGGAACUGAGACACGGUACAGACCCCUACGGGGGGCAGCAGUGGGGAAUUUUGGGCAAUGGGGGCAACCCUGAUCCAGCCAUGCCGCGUGAGUGAAGAAGGCCUUCGGGUUGUAAAGCUCUUUCGGCCGGGAAGAAAUCGUGUGGGCUAAUACCCCAUAUGGAUGACGGUACCGGAAUAAGAAGCACCGGCUAACUACGUGCCAGCCGCCGCGGUAAAAC